AGAUGUGUAUAAGAGACAGGGCAAAAGGUAGCUUAACUGCGAGACCGACAAGUCGAGCAGGUGCGAAAGCAGGACAUAGUGAUCCGGUGGUUCUGAAUGGAAGGGCCAUCGCUCAACGGAUAAAAGGUACUCCGGGGAUAACAGGCUGAUUCCGCCCAAGAGUCCAUAUCGACGGCGGAGUUUGGCACCUCGAUGUCGGCUCAUCACAUCCUGGGGCUGUAGUCGGUCCCAAGGGUAUGGCUGUUCGCCAUUUAAAGUGGUACGUGAGCUGGGUUUAAAACGUCGUGAGACAGUUUGGUCCCUAUCUGCAGUGGGCGUUGGAAGUUUGACGGGGGCUGCUCCUAGUACGAGAGGACCGGAGUGGACGAACCUCUGGUGUACCGGUUGUUUCGCCAGAAGCAUAGCCGGGUAGCUAAGUUCGGAAGAGAUAAGCGCUGAAAGCAUCUAAGCGCGAAACUCGCCCAAAGAUGAGACUUCCCUUGUGGUUUAACCAUACUAAAGAGUCGUUCGAGACCAGGACGUUGAUAGGUUGGGUGUGGAAGAGUGG
rnacentral:rRNA from 1 species